AGUAACAAAUUCUUACUUCUCACAGCUUUGGAGACAGCCAUGGACAGUUCGCCAUGAGAAGGCAAGCGGAUGCGGGGUCUGAGGAUCGGUUUCCCGGUCUGCACAUCACCAUUUUUACGUGGGUUCUUCAUGUGAUGGAGAGCAGAAAGAGGAAGCCUUGGGGCACCUGCUGCCACCCUUGGUCCAGGAAGGCAGCCCGCAUCAGAAACACCUGUCAUGCUACAGGUCCCCGGGCUCCAUCCAAGUCUUCUCAAGAAGAACAUCUGGGGCCGAGGGCAGGCGUAGGCCUUUAAAACGGUCUCCCUCGAUGUGGCCUCUCACGCAGCUGAAUCCAGCAUUUCUCGAUCCUGUCCUCAAACAGUAAAGGGUUCGCCUCCUACAUGUUCCUCUCACUGUCACUUCUCUGCUGAAGAAUCCUAUGGAUGCUCCCAAGGCUAAGGAUGCUCAUUCUCCAGUUUCUUUCUGCUGCAGCC